rnacentral:snoRNA from 1 species
AAACCAUGGUGAGGGCACCUUCUCAAUAGAUCCUUGUAUCUCUCCCAUGUAUCGUAGAGUGUUUCUAAAUGCAUCUGCAUAAAAGAAGAGAUAUCAUUACGUAAUUU